AAACAAAGAUAAAAACACGCAAUUACUGUAGAAGAUUACAGGAAAUGUAAUCGUGCAAAUAUACUUCUCUGAUGGAAGAUAAAUACUUUAAUUGUAUUGUACAAGUAUAAAUACGCAAACAUCCAGAUUACAAGAGUCUUUUUCCAAUUUAAAUCUCAGGAUGAAGUUGUUCAAAAUGCACUUAUUUCUUUGUAUAUUACUUUUCAUUGCGGCAUCCGGAAUUUCUAUGAAUGUUCAAUCUCACUUUGCUUCCCAUCAUGAUGGCAAAGUUGGUUGUCGACGGUUAAAUUUUGGAAACGGUGGUAGACAAAGCACCACCACCAGUACCACUCAACAACCUUAACGCAGAAAAACUGAGAUAAAUGGAAUAGAAGAAAAAAUAAAUAAUAAGAUCAAAUCAAUAAAAUAUUGUAAAAGAAUUAUAUUUUUUUGUUGAAAGUAAUAUAUAUAUAUAUAAUUAUAUAUACUGUUGUUUUUAACACAUAAUGAAACAAAAAUUAGAACAAAUAGAACAUUUUCUUGUAGAUAAAUUGAAUUUACGAUAAA